GACGAACGCUGGCGGCGUGCUUAACACAUGCAAGUCGAGCGGUAAGGCCCUUUCGGGGGUACACGAGCGGCGAACGGGUGAGUAACACGUGGGUGACCUGCCCUUAGCUCUGGGAUAAGCCUGGGAAACUGGGUCUAAUACCGGAUAUGACCUCAUGACGCAUGUUGUGGGGUGGAAAGCCUUGUGCGGCUAGGGAUGGGCCCGCGGCCUAUCAGCUUGUUGGUGGGGUGAUGGCCUACCAAGGCGACGAUCCGUAGCUGGUCUGAGAGGACGAUCAGCCACACUGGGACUGAGACACGGCCCAGACUCCUACGGGAGGCAGCAGUGGGGAAUCUUGCGCAAUGGGCGAAAGCCUGACGCAGCGACGCCGCGUGAGGGAAGAAGGCCU
rnacentral:rRNA from 1 species